GAGAACUGCAGAUCGAUUUUCUUAAGGUGAUCAAGAUUAAGUAGUGGGUGUUGCUGUCGUGAGUGGCUAUCCCUCACUGAGUCUUUAGGUUGCUCUGAUACGUAACGGGAUGGGAUCUUUUGUGAUCGAGCGUAGGUUGCUGUUGUGCUGUCGUGAGUGGCCUUGCCUCACUGAGUCCUAGGUUGCUCUGAUACGUAACAGGAUGGGGUUUAUGAUAUGCAUGCUUCAUUUUCUUUACGUGUUCAUUUAUGAUGUUUUAUGAUGUUUAACUGAAUUUAUUGAGAUAUUACGAUGGGACCUGCGUGCCAAGACAAUUUAUGAUUUUUGAAUUAACUCCGCUGCGAUGAUUGAGAUAUUUUGUUGGAAGUUAAAUUGUUAUUUAACUGUUUUUAGAUUAUGU
rnacentral:lncRNA from 1 species